CUGCUCAUGUGGUAUAGGUAUUUAUUUUAUGAAAAGACCAAAGUACAGAGGGACUUUCUUAACCAUUACAUCAGAAGAAGUUUGAUAAUAGUUUGGGAAAGAAAUAAGAAAUACUUAGAAAACAAGGUCGCAUACAGAAUGAUCAUGGUGAUGGCUACGAUUGCAAGGAGAAUGACCACAACAGCGAGUCCGAUUUCCAAGGCGCUGCAUCGCAGUUUUUUCUUUUGUUUUGGAGAGUUCAUUUCAGUUAUAUCCAUCUGACUUUCUGACUUGCCCAUAACCCAGAGUCUGGAAAGAAGGAGGAGGAGAAAGCACAGUUAUUGAAAUCAGAAAAGAAUGGAAAUUUCAAGUUCCUCCUACCUAACAAGGGCUAUUUUUUUCCCCAGUGAAGAGGAAACAUGGAUUUUUUUUUAAAAAAGCACAAAACUGUUAGUCAUGACAAUACAUUGACACACUGUGUUGUAACUUACAAUUUGCAGUGCGAUGUGGUUCUUACUCACACAGAGUGGCUAAAAAGGGAAUGAAAACAAACCAACAGUUGGUUUUAUUGCUAACAUAUCUAAUUUAAUUGCAUGCCCUGGUACAAGAGUUCACAAACAAGUGAAAUGCAGCUGACAGCGUUUGAAUAAAAAUUAACUUAACCUUUCAA